rnacentral:tRNA from 2 species
GCGGAAGUGGCGGAGCUGGCAGACGCGCCAGGUUGAGGGCCUGGUCCUCGCAAGGGGGUGGGGGUUCGAAUCCCCCCUUCCGCA